rnacentral:rRNA from 1 species
GACGAACGCUGGCGGCGUGCUUAACACAUGCAAGUCGAACGGUAAGGCCCUUCGGGUACGACGAGUGGCGAACGGGUGAGUAACACGUGGUGGAUCUGCCCUGCACUUCGGGAUAAGCUUGGGAAACUGGGUCUAAUACCGGAUAGGACCACGGUCUGCAUGGAUUGUGGUGGAAAGCUUUUGCGGUGUGGGAUGGCCCGCGGCCUAUCAGCUUGUUGGUGGGGUGAUGGCCUACCAAGGCGACGGCGGGUAGCCGGCCUGAGAGGAUGUCCGGCCACACUGGGACUGAGAUACGGCCCAGACUCCUACGGGAGGCAGCAGU